rnacentral:lncRNA from 1 species
CUGUGGUGAUGGUGUGGUAUGUCUGUGGUGAUGGUGUGGUAUGUGUGUGGUGAUGAUGUGGUAUGUGUUUGGUGAUGGUGUGGUAUGUGUGUGGUGGUGGUGUGGUAUGUGUGUGGUGAUGAUGUGGUAUGUGUUUGGUGAUGGUGUGGUAUGUGUGUGGUGAUGGUAUGGUAUGUGUUUGGUGAUUGUGUGGUAUGUGUUUGGUAAUGGUGGUGUGUUUGUGUUUCUCCAGAUGAAGAGAAGAGUGCGGUAGCUCUCAGUCCCGCCCGGCCUCAUUCCCACAGUCCAUUUGGGCUGCUGUCUGUGCUUCCCACCGCGCCGCCUCGGCCAGGCCCCGCACCCACACAGCUACCGCACACGCACCUGCAGCUUCAGCACCCGCACACCGCUCUGCAGCUACAGUCCAGUCGAGUUCCUGUAGGAACAGCGGCUCCUCAUCACAACCUGAACGACCUCAUCGUGAUCCACGGGAUUCCACUGCAGCAGAGGAACCCUGGAGUUCUGGACCGAGCAGCUCAGUAAUCACACUCUGCUUCUCUCUGUUAGAAAUACAGAAGAUGAUCAUCACACUGUUUAUAGGGGUUGAGGGGCGGAGUUUUAUUGUGUAUAUAAGUAUAGAGUCUGUUCUCA